rnacentral:rRNA from 1 species
GACGAACCGUGCGAACGUUGUUCGGAUUCACUGGGCUUAAAGGGCGCGUAGGCGGGUGACCAAGUCCGGGGUGAAAUCUUUCGGCUCAACCGGAAAAGUGCCUUGGAUACUGGUCGUCUCGAGGGAGGUAGGGGCAUGCGGAACUUCCGGUGGAGCGGUGAAAUGCGUAGAUAUUGGGAAGAACACCCGUGGCGAAAGCGGCUCUCUGGGACGGUACUGACGCUGAGACGCGAAAGCGUGGGGAGCAAACAGG